rnacentral:rRNA from 1 species
AUUGAACGCUGGCGGCAGGCUUAACACAUGCAAGUCGAGCGGGGUGAUGGUGCUUGCACUAUCACUUAGCGGCGGACGGGUGAGUAAUGCUUAGGAAUCUGCCUAUUAGUGGGGGACAACAUCUCGAAAGGGAUGCUAAUACCGCAUACGUCCUAUGGGAGAAAGCAGGGGAUCACUUGUGACCUUGCGCUAAUAGAUGAGCCUAAGUCGGAUUAGCUAGUUGGUGGGGUAAAGGCCUACCAAGGCGACGAUCUGUAGCGGGUCUGAGAGGAUGAUCCGCCACACUGGGACUGAGACACGGCCCAGACUCCUACGGGAGGCAGCAGUGGGGAAUAUUGGACAAUGGGGGGAACCCUGAUCCAGCCAUGCCGCGUGUGUGAAGAAGGCCUUAUGGUUGUAAAGCACUUUAAGCGAGGAGGAGGCUCUUUUGGUUAAUACCCAAGAUGAGUGGACGUUACUCGCAGAAUAAGCACCGGCUAACUCUGUGCCAGCCGCCGCUGUAAGAC